rnacentral:lncRNA from 1 species
CUCCCGGACGCUUGCCUGCAGUCAGCGAAGCUUUUCCAACCCAGGUCUGGGCCCUGCGAGCUCCAGGUGCCUCUGCCCCGCGGCGCUGGCGAAGUCGAAGCCCGAGAACGCCCACCGCAGCGAUGCGAAGGCCGCUUCUGGGGUGGGGCUGAGGCUGCAGCUGCCUCCCUUUCGCACCAAGGACCCCAACCUUCAGCGACGCAGCCGCCGCUCCCGCCCAGGCUGGGAGGCACUGUAGGGAUCCGACGCUUCAGGUGGCCAAAGAGCGACUUUCUCUGAUUCCAGGGCCCUGGCGGGGCAGGCUCCAGUACCGCACUCGGCGGAGGCCGAAGGUCUGUGGGGCAGGACAGGAGUUCCUCGUGCCGUCGGAAGGGCCGAGGACGAAGGAGGGCGCUAAUUCACUCCCCACUGGGCUGGCGGCAACGCCGAAUCCCGCAGUGACCGCGGAGGGCCAAGGUGCAGGCUGCCCCAUGGAUGCCACACGUGGCAGCGGGGAGAAAAGAAGUGAUUCGGUCCCUGCCGAGGGUUGCUGCCACCCACGCACUGCUGGCGGACUCAGUGCCAGGCAGCCUUGAUGGCCAGGCAACGUCUAACCCAGGAGGUGGGACACAUCCUCGGAGUCACCAGUGAGAUGUGGCGAGCUGGGAGAAAAGUCGGCUUCCUGCAUUUGUCACCUUCUGCCUCCAGCCAUGGAACUGCUUCACAAGAUUAAAGGAGAAACAGAAAAUGUAUCUAGCGCUGUGCUUGGGGCAUGGCAGGAACUCAAUGAAUGCUUAUUAAAUACUGUAAAUGAUAAACACAUCAAUGGAUGGUGUUAUGAAUCCACUGGCCUAUUAAGGGAUCCUUUAGGAAGGCUCUAUGUGAACAUGAUCCUGGGUAUCUACACAUAGAACCCAGGUAUAAUCUGAAGAGAUCAUCUGAUAAGUGAGUGAUUUUGAUUA